GACGAACGCUGGCGGCGUGCUUAACACAUGCAAGUCGAACGGAAAGGCCUGCUUUCCCUUGUGGAUUGCGGGUACUCGAGUGGCGAAUGGGUGAGUAACACGUGAGUGAUCUGCCCCCAACUUGGGUAUAAGCCUGGGAAACUGGGUCUAAUUCCCGAUAGGACUGCAGGGUGGUGCCUGUGGUGGAAAACGAUUUUCUAGUGGUUGGGGAUGAGCUCGCGGCCUAUCAGCUUGUUGGUGGGGUAAUGGCCUACCAAGGCGGCGACGGGUAGCCGGCCUGAGAGGGUGGACGGCCACAUUGGGACUGAGAUACGGCCCAGACUCCUACGGGAGGCAGCAGUGGGGAAUAUUACACAAUGGGCGGAAGCCUGAUGCAGCGACGCCGCGUGGGGGAUGACGGCCUUCGGGUUGUAAACUCCUUUCGACCGCGAGGAAGCCACCUGGUUGGAAGGGUGGUGACGGUAGUGGUAGAAGAAGCACCGGCUAACUACGCG
rnacentral:rRNA from 1 species